GCUGCCGCGCGCCUCAUUUCAACUUCACCCCGCGUACGCGCGCUUGCUCUCUCUCUCCGCAUUCCCAUUCACUACCCGCGUGCUCGCGCGCUCGCGCUCUCUCCGCGACGACUGGGUGUGGGCUACCGCCGCCCUACGCCAGGUGCCGAGGCUUCGUCGAUCUCUUCGCCGGCGACGAGCACCCACCAGGAUGCAAAAGCACUCGGGGCUUCGGAGCCUCGAGGGGUUCCGAUCCCUCGUUGGAUCCACCUCGACAGCCAUGAAGGUCGCGAACCCCAGGCCCUCCCCGGAUACUGGGGGUAUUUCGUAUGGGAGCUUCGCCAACCUUAAGAUCACAGCAGAGAAAUUAGUCAAGGAGCAGGCUUCAGUGAAGACUGAUCUAGAAAUGGCGCAUGUCAAAUUGAGAAGAGCAACAGAACAGAUAAACAUUAUAGAGGGAAAACUUCAACAAGCUUUGAAUGAAAAUGCAAAGCUUAAGGUGAAGCAGACUGAAGAUUCGAAGCUCUGGCAGGGAUUAGAUUCGAAACUCUCCUCAACAAAGACCUUGUGUGAUCAACUGACUGAAACUCUUCAGCAGCUAGCUAGUCAGACAGAACAAGCUGAGGAAGACAAGAAGUUUUUUGAGGAGAUGCUUGGGAAGAAUUCCAAAGCUCUAGAUGAAUUCAACUGCUUGUUGCGUGAUUUAUCAACAAAACUGGAGUAUGCGGAACAAAAGAUAAUUUCAGGGAGACAGGAGAUGUUGCAGAUCAAACAAGAGAAAGAAGAGAUGGAUCGAAGUUACAAGGGACAACUGUAUUCAAAUGAUACUACGAUAAAGGAAAAAGAUUCGCUCAUCAAGCAGUUGGAGGGUUCACUUGAUGAUAAUAAAUCCCGCUUGAUAUAUCUUGACUCCCGCUUGCAAUGCAUGGAGCAAGAACUGAAGCUAAAAGAUGAUGUUUGUAUCAGCCUGAAAGGAAACCUAGCUAGCAGUGAAAGUGAAAAGAACAGUUUGGAGCUUAUGAAUAAGGGACACAUUCUGGAAAUUAAAAAACUAUGCCAGGACAACAAGGAUCUUAAUGAAUUGUUUAGCAGCUUCAUGGUUAAAGUAACUGAGCUAGAUAAAGAACAUGCCUCUAUGUCAAGUCAUGUGUCUAGGCUGAUUUCUUCAUUUGAAAGAUUCUAUGAAAUGGCCCAAGAGGAGAAAAUGCUAAUGGCAAGAUCUUCUAAGGAUAAAUUUGAACAUCUUCAAAGCCAGUAUGUAGAUUUGACAUCAGAAAACAAUGCUCUCAAAACUGAAAUUGAAGAACUGAAGUCCAGACUCAUAGAGUUGCAGAGAACUCAAGAAAUUGUUAUGGUUCAACAUGUUGAAGAAUGCCAAGUGGCUGAAGAUAAGAUCAGAAGAUUAGAGUCUGAAGCUGAAGUUUCUGCCUCCAACAUAAAUCAGUUAGAAAAAUUAGCUUCAGAACUACAAGGGAGAAUUCAGAAGUUACUAGAAGAUUCUACCUUUGCUGAAAAUCACAAGCAAGAGUUGCUUCAAAAGAUUUUGAAGCUAGAAUCAGAUAAUCAGGAACUCCUAGGACAAAUGCAGUCCAUUAUGGAAGAGAAAUCAAAUAAUGCUGAAUCUCUGCAUGGAGAGAUAACUAAGCGUGACCAGCAGGUUGAUACACUUGAGAAUCAGAUCAACCAGCUUCGUAGUGUUCUGGAUGAGAAGGAGCAACUCUAUCUUUGUUCUGUACAAAAAGAGAAGACUUUGGAGGAACAGAAAUUACAGGUCGAAGCAUUGCUUUCUGCAACAGAGUGCAAACUUAGUGAUGCAAAAAAACAGUAUGAUUUGAUGCUUGAAGGCGAAAAGAUAGAGCUAUCCAAGCAUUUGAAAGAGCUAUCUCUCAAAAAUGACCAGGCGAUCAAUGAAAUCCGUAAGAAAUAUGAACUUGAAAAGAUUGAAAUUACUAAUGCUGAAAAAGAAAAGGCAGAAAAGCUCAUAAGGGAAAUUGAAAACAAAUGCAACGAAAAGAUAUCACAGAACAAGCAUGAUUCUCAGAGGUAUUUGAUUUGCCUUAAGGAGGAACAUGGCACAACGGUGGCGAGAAUUCAGCAGGAUAAUGAGCAUAAAGAGUCAACUCUCCGGGCUUAUCACAAAGAAGAACUGCAGCGCAUUCAAUCUCAGGCUGAGAAUGAAAUGAGGGAGAGGUUGUCAUUGCUCAGAAAAGAGCAUGAAGUUCAAAUAAAAUCACUAAGGAUGCAUCAUGAGGAAGAAUGCCAGAGGAUGCAGGAGGAACUGGAGCUUCAGAAGUCCAAGGAGGAGAAGCAAAGAGCAUUGUUACAAUUACAGUGGAAAGUAAUGGGAGAAAGUCAACGAGUUGAUCAAGAAGUGAACUCUAAGAAGUUUCAACAUGUUGGAAGCACAAGGCUGGUCCAGAUUCCUAUCUUGAAUUUUUUCUGUUUAAAUUUUUCAGGAAUACUCUGUUUCGUCGAUUAGGAGGAGCGACCCAUAUGGAAGAAAAGAACAAGAGGUCCAGUUGGUAAGUCCGGAGACCAAUCGGAAGGACGUAAACUUACCUGGGAUUUUACAAUCACCAAUUUCGAACAUGUUGAGAAAGGUAGAGAAAGUGUCUCAGGAUAUUCCUAAACAUAGAAAGGUAACCCACCAUGAAUACGAAGUUGAGACAGCAAAUGGAAGAAUCACAAAGCGCAGGAAAACUAGGAGCACUGUCAUGUUUGGUGAACCGAACUCUCAGAAACCAUUGCAUAAUACUACUGACAAAGAUGUUAAAAAACUAAAAAAGGUUCCUACAAGAUCCCGUGCACAUCCUGCAAACAUUGGUGAAUUAUUCUCUGAGGGUUCCUUGAAUCCGUAUGCUGACGACCCUUAUGCUUUUGACUAGAAGCUCACGCCUGGAAGUAUCAUUUUUGCAAGCACGAUGACGAAUUCUGGAACACACAAUUACCACCACCGUGUUGGGUCAAUCCUACGGCUUUUCCCUGGUCAUCCGUCCAUCAUAAUGUACAUGACUGCCGUUGACUCAUGUAUCUCUGAAGUAUUGCUACUGCAACAACCAUCACGAUUGUCGGAUAUGUAGGUGUAGAUUUGUGAAUGAACUGUACAUGCCAUAACUACGGAGUAACUGAAUAUCCUCAGAUAAAACGCUUUGUACGCGUCGUGCGAUGCUGUUGGAUUGGAAUCGUGUUUGCCCUUUCCUCCAGAUGCCAAGGCCCGGUGGAGUAGAUGGGCUCCGGUCUGGAAGUGGGGCACAGCAUGUGGAUACAGGAUUAAUGCCACUGGGUGUUUGCAUCUAUGGAACGACGGAAACAAUUCGGAUCGA